GACGAACGCUGGCGGCGUGCCUAAUACAUGCAAGUCGAGCGAAGUUUUUCUGGUGCUUGCACUAGAAAAACUUAGCGGCGAACGGGUGAGUAACACGUAAAGAACCUGCCUCAUAGACUGGGACAACUAUUGGAAACGAUAGCUAAUACCGGAUAACAGUAUUUCUCGCAUGGGAGAUAUUUAAAAGUUGGUUAUGCUAACACUAUGAGAUGGCUUUGCGGUGCAUUAGCCAGUUGGUGGGGUAAAGGCCCACCAAGGCGACGAUGCAUAGCCGACCUGAGAGGGUGAUCGGCCACACUGGGACUGAGACACGGCCCAGACUCCUACGGGAGGCAGCAGUAGGGAAUCUUCCGCAAUGGGCGAAAGCCUGACGGAGCAACGCCGCGUGAGUGAAGAAGGAUUUCGGUUCGUAAAGCUCUGUUGUUAGGGAAGAAUGGAUAUGUAGUAACUAUACAUGUAAGAGACGGUACCUAACCAGAAAGCCACGGCUAACUACGUG
rnacentral:rRNA from 1 species